rnacentral:rRNA from 1 species
UACGUAGGUGGCAAGCGUUAUCCGGAAUUAUUGGGCGUAAAGCGCGCGUAGGCGGUUUUUUAAGUCUGAUGUGAAAGCCCACGGCUCAACCGUGGAGGGUCAUUGGAAACUGGAAAACUUGAGUGCGGAAGAGGAAAGUGGAAUUCCAUGUGUAGCGGUGAAAUGCGCAGAGAUAUGGAGGAACACCAGUGGCGAAGGCGACUUUCUGGUCUGUAACUGACGCUGAUGUGCGAAAGCGUGGGGAUCAAANAGGAUUAGAUANC